UGGGGAAUAUUGCACAAUGGGGGAAACCCUGAUGCAGCAACGCCGCGUGAAGGAAGACGGUUUUCGGAUUGUAAACUUCUGUUCUUAGUGAAGAAAGAAUGACGGUAGCUAAGGGGCAAGCCACGGCUAACUACGUGCCAGCAGCCGCGGUAAUACGUAGGUGGCAAGCGUUGUCCGGAAUUACUGGGUGUAAAGGGAGCGCAGGCGGGAGAUCAAGUCAGCUGUGAAAACUACGGGCUUAACUUGUAGACUGCAGUUGAAACUGAUUUUCUUGAGUGAAGUAGAGGUUGGCGGAAUUCCGAGUGUAGCGGUGAAAUGCGUAGAUAUUCGGAGGAACACCGGUGGCGAAGGCGGCCAACUGGGCUUUAACUGACGCUGAGGC
rnacentral:rRNA from 1 species